rnacentral:rRNA from 1 species
AGUGAACGCUGGCGGUAGGCCUAACACAUGCAAGUCGAACGGCAGCACAGGAGAGCUUGCUCUCUGGGUGGCGAGUGGCGGACGGGUGAGGAAUACAUCGGAAUCUACCUUUUCGUGGGGGAUAACGUAGGGAAACUUACGCUAAUACCGCAUACGACCUACGGGUGAAAGUGGGGGACCGCAAGGCCUCACGCGAUUAGAUGAGCCGAUGUCCGAUUAGCUAGUUGGCGGGGUAAUGGCCCGCCAAGGCGACGAUCGGUAGCUGGUCUGAGAGGAUGAUCAGCCACACUGGAACUGAGACACGGUCCAGACUCCUACGGGAGGUAGCAGUGGGGAAUAUUGGACAAUGGGCGCAAGCCUGAUCCAGCCAUACCGCGUGGGUGAAGAAGGCCUUCGGGUUGUAAAGCCCUUUUGUUGGGAAAGAAAUCCUAUCGGUUAAUAACCGGUGGGGAUGACGGUACCCAAAGAAUAAGCACCGGCUAACUUCGUGCCAGCCGCCGCGGUAACAC